rnacentral:rRNA from 1 species
GACGAACGCUGGCGGCGUGCUUAACACAUGCAAGUCGAACGGAAAGGCCCGGCUUUUGUGGGGUGCUCGAGUGGCGAACGGGUGAGUAACACGUGAGUAACCUGCCCUUGACUUUGGGAUAACUUCAGGAAACUGGGGCUAAUACCGGAUAGGAGCUCCUGCUGCUUGGUGGGGGUUGGAAAGUUUCGGCGGUUGGGGAUGGACUCGCGGCUUAUCAGCGUGGUGGUGGGGUAGUGGCUUACCAAGGCUUUGACGGGUAGCCGGCCUGAGAGGGUGACCGGCCACAUUGGAACUGAGAUACGGCACAGACUCCUACGGGAGGCAGCGGUGGAGAGUAUUGCACAAUGGGCGGAAGCCUGAUGCAGCGACGCCGCGUGCGGGAUGACGGCCUUCGGGUUGUAAAGCGCUUUCGCCUCUGACGAAGCGUGAGUGACGGUAAUGGGUGAAGAAGCACCGGCUAACUACGUG